rnacentral:rRNA from 1 species
UACGUAGGGUGCAAGCGUUAAUCGGAAUUACUGGGCGUAAAGCGUGCGCAGGCGGUUUUGUAAGUCGUGUCGUGAAAGCCCCGGGCUCAACCUGGGAAUUGCGAUGGAGACUGCAAGGCUUGAAUCUGGCAGAGGGGGGGUAGAAUUCCACGUGUAGCAGUGAAAUGCGUAGAGAUGUGGAGGAACACCGAUGGCGAAGGCAGCCCCCUGGGUCAAGAUUGACGCUCGAUGCACGAAAGCGUGGGGAGCAAACAGG